rnacentral:rRNA from 1 species
AACGGCAGCGAGGAGAAGCUUGCUUCUCUGUCGGCGAGUGGCGAACGGGUGAGUAUAGCAUCGGAACGUGCCAAGUAGUGGGGGAUAACCAAACGAAAGUUUGGCUAAUACCGCGUAAGCUCCAAGGAGGAAAGUAGGGGACCUAAUAAGGCCUUACGCUAUUUGACCGGCCGAUGUCGGAUUAGCUAGUUGGUGGGGUAAUGGCUCACCAAGGCAAUGAUCCGUAGCGGGUCUGAGAGGACGAUCCGCCACACUGGGACUGAGACACGGCCCAGACUCCUACGGGAGGCAGCAGUGGGGAAUUUUGGACAAUGGGGGAAACCCUGAUCCAGCCAUGCCGCGUGUAUGAAGAAGGCCUUAGGGUUGUAAAGUACUUUUGUUAGGGAAGAAAAGCUAGUUUUUAAUAAAAAUUAGUGAUGACGGUACCUAAAGAAUAAGCACCGGCUAACUACGUGCCAGCAGCCGCGGUAAUACGUAGGGUGCAAGCGUUAAUCGGAAUUAUUGGGCGUAAAGCGAGUGCAGACGGUUACUUAAGCCAGAUGUGAAAUCCCCAAGCUUAACUUGGGACGUGCAUUUGGAACUGGGUGACUAGAGUGUGUCAGAGGGAGGUAGAAUUCCACAUGUAGCGGUGGAAUGCGUAGAGAUGUGGAGGAAUACCGAUGGCGAAGGCAGCCUCCUGGGAUAACACUGACGUUGAGGCUCGAAAGCGUGGGGAGC